AACACAAUGACACUUGAAACUAAGGGUAGAUGUGAACCUAACGGUAUGUCUGAAGCUUUGAUUACCGCUUGACUAGAACAAGUGUGACCUGAUCUUCCGAAAGUUUCUGGUAACUAUCGAUUUAGUGGAAACGAGAGACAUAUCAAUCCACCUUGCGAACAACACAAUUCGAAACCCUGCAAUUCUUUUUUUUGAUAUUUUUAUUUUACUUAGGGGCACUCAAGAAGUAACCACAGGAAAUUUGAGCUUAAACAAGUGAAAGACGUGGCCUGUGGAAUUUUUUGAAGAUUGUGAAAAAUAUGAAAAAAAAACUUUAGGAGGUGAAAACUCAAACUUCAGAGGCGAAUUUGGGGAUUCUAAAAUUGUCGAACCCGCCAUUGGCGGGGAUAGACAGAUCCAAAAAUUAUUUCUGAUCGAUUCGAUUUUGAUAUAUAGAACGUCAAAAUUGGAGUUCGUAUGCGAAAGUUAUGGCUGAUUUACGAACGGACUCUGAAUUAGAGGACAAAACGGUCCGGAAGUGGGAAAAAAUUGCGGUGGUGGCUAGAAAUUGAUGGAAACAGUGGGAAAAACACACAAACUGGAAUGUAACAAGACCUAACCAGUAACAAGACCUCGACCAGGAAAAAACUCAACACUACGGACUCUGGAACUGAAAUAAGCAAAGGCUAUGGCGCGGAUGGGUUGUAGGACAUGAAAACAAUAUGGCACUUGACUUCUGGGACGAACACAAGUACACUUCAAACUAAGGGUAGAUGUGUACCUAACAUUAUGUCUGAAGCUUUGAUUACCACUUGAGGAGAACAAGUGUGGCCCGAUCUUCCGAAAGUUUCUGGUAACUAUCGAUUUGGUGGAAACAAGAGACAUAUUAAUCCAGCUUGCGAACAACACAAUUCGAAACACUGCAAUUCUUUUUUUUUUGAUAUUUUUCUUUUACUUAGGAGCACUCAAGAAUUAACCACAGGAAAUUUGAGCUUAAACAAGUGAAAGACGUGGCCUGUGGAAUUUUUUGAAGAUUGUGAAAAAUAUGAAAAAAAACAUUAGGAGGUGAAAACUCAAACUUCAGAGGUGAAUUUGGAGAUUCUAAAAUUGUCAAACCCGCCGUUGGCGAGGAUAGACAGAUCCGAAAAUUGUUUCUGAUCAAUUCGAUUUUGAUAUAUAGAACGUCAAAAUUGGAGUUCGUAUGCGAAAGUUAUGGCUGUUUUACGAACGGACUCUGAAUUAGAGGACAAAACGGUCCGGAAGUGGGAAAAAAUUGCGGUGGUGGCUAGAAAUUGAUGGAAAUAGUGGGAAAAACACAUUAACUGGACUGUAACAAGACCUAACCAGUAACAAGACCUCGACCGGGACACAAAGUCAACACUACAGACUCUGAAACUGAAAUAUGCAAAGGCUAUGGUGCGGAUGGGUUGUAGGACAUGAAAACAAUAUGGCACUAGACUUAUGGGACGAACACACGGACACUUCAAACUAAGGGUAGAUGUAUAACGGUAUGUCUGAAGCUUUGAUUACCACUUGAGGAGAACAAGUGUGGCCCGAUCUUCCGAAAGUUUCUGGUAACUAUCGAUUUGGUGGAAACGAGAGACAUAUCAAUCCAACUUGCGAACAACACAAUUCGAAAUCCUGCAAUUCUUUUUAUUUUUUUUUAUAUUUUUGUUUUACUAAGGAGCACUCAAGAAGUAACCACAGGAAAUUUGAGCUUAAACAAGUGAAAGACAUGGCCUGUGCAAUUUUUUGAAGAUUGUGAAAAAUAUGAAAAAAACAUUAGGAGGUGAAAACUCAAACUUCAGAGGUGAAUUUGGGGAUUCUAAAAUUGUCGAACCCGCCGUUGGCGAGGAUAGACAGAUCCAAAAAUUAUUUCUCAUCGAUUCGAUUUUGAUAUAUAGAACGUCAAAAUUAGAGUUCGUAUGCGAAAGUUAUGGUUGUUUUACGAACGGACUCUGAAUUAGAGGACAAAACGGUCCGGAAGUGGGAAAAGAUUGCGGUGGUGGCUAGAAAUUGAUGAAAACAGUGAGAAAAAACACACAAACUGGACUGUAACAAGACCUAACCAGUAACAAGACCUCGACCAGGAUACAAACUCAACACUACGGACUCUAAAACUGAAAUAUGCAAAGGCUAUGGCGCGGAUGGGUUGUAGGACAUGAAAACAAUAUGGCACUAGACUUAUGGGACGAACACAAGGACACUUGAAACUAAGGGUAGAUGUGAACCUAACGGUAUGUCUGAAGCAUUGAUUACCACUUGAGGAGAACAAGUGGGCACGAUUUUCCGAAAGUUUCUGGUAACUAUCGAUUUGGUGGAAACGAGAGACAUAUCAAUCCAACUUGCGAACAACGCAAUUCGAAACCCUGCAAUUCUUUUUAUUUUUUUUGAUAUUUUUGUUUUACUAAGGAGCACUCAAGAAGUAACCACAGGAAAUUUGAGCUUAAACAAGUGAAAGACGUGGCCAGUGGAAUUUUUUGAAUAUUGUGAAAAAUAUGAAAAAAAACAUUAGGAGGUGAAAACUCAAACUUCAUAGGCGAAUUUGGAGAUUCUAAAAUUGUCGAACCCGCCGUUGGCGAGGAUAGACAGAUCCAAAAAUUGUUUCUGAUCGAUUCGAUUUUGAUAUAUAGAACGUCAAAAUUGGAGUUCGUAUGCGAAAGUUAUGGCUGUUUUACGAACGGACUCCGAAUUAGAGGACAAAACGGUCUGGAAGUGGGAAAAAUUGCGGUGGUGGCUAGAAAUUGAUGGAAACAGUGGGAAAAAACACACAAACUGGACUGUAACAAGACCUAACCAGUAACAAGACCUCGACCAGGACACAAACUCAACACUACGGACUCUGAAACUGAAAUAUGCAAAGGCUAUGGCGCGGAUGGGUUGUAGGACAUGAAAACAAUAUGGCACUAGACUUAUGGGACGAACAUAAGGACACUUGAAACUAAGGGUAAAUGUGAACCUAACGGUAUGUCUGAAGCUUUGGUUACCACUUGAGGAGAACAAGUGUGGCCCGAUCUUCCGAAAGUUCCUGGUAACUAUCGAUUUGGUGGAAACGAGAGACAUAUCAAUCCAGCUUGCGAACAACACAAUUCACUGCAAUUCUUUUUAUUUUUUUGAUAUUUUUCUUUUACUUAGGAGCACUCAAGAAGUACCACAGGAAAUUUAAGCUUAAACAAGUGAAAGACGUGGCCUGUGGAAUUUUUUGAAGAUUGUGAAAAAUAUGAAAAAAACUUUAGGAGGAGAAAACUCAAACUUCAGAGGCGAAUUUGGGGAUUCUAAAAUUGUCGAACCCGCCCUUGGCGGGGAUAGACAGAUCCAAAAAUUGUUUCUGAUCGAUUCGAUUUUGAUAUAUAGAACGUCAAAAUUGGAGUUCGUAUGCGAAACUUAUGGCUGUUUUACGAACGGACUCUGAAUUAGAUGACAAAACGGUCUGGAAGUGGGAAAAAUUUACGGUGGUGGCUAGAAAUUGAUGGAAACAGUGGGAAAAAACACACAAACUGGACUGUAACAAGACUUAACCAGUAACAAGACCUCGACCAGGACACAAACUCAACACUACGGACUCUGAAACUGAAAUAUGCAAAGGCUAUGGCGCGGAUGGGUUGUAGGACAUGAAAACAAUAUGGAACUAGACUUAUGGGAUGAACACAAGGGCACUUCAAACUAAGGGUAGAUGUGAACCUAACAGUAUGUCUGAAGCUUUGAUUACCACUUGAGGAGAACAAGUGUGGCCCGAUCUUCUGAAAGUUUCUGGUAACUAUCGAUUUGGUGGAAACGAUAGACAUAUCAAUCCAACUUGCGAACAACAUAAUUCGAAACCCUACAAUUAUUUUUAUUUUUUUUGAUAUUUUUGUUUUACUAAGGAGCACUCAAGAAGUAACCACAGGAAAUUUGAGCUUAAACAAGUGAAAGACGUGGCCUAUGGAAUUUUUUGAAGAUUGUGAAAAAUAUGAAAAAAACUUUAGGAGGUGAAAACCAAACUUCGGAGGCGAAUUUGGGGAUUCUAAAAUUGUCGAACCCGCCGUUGGCGGGAUAGACAGAUCCAAAAAUUGUUUCUGAUCGAUUCGAUUUUGAUAUAUAGAACGUCAAAAUUGGAGUUCGUAUGCGAAAGUUAUGGCUGUUUUAAGAACGGACUCUGAAUUAGAGGACAAAACGGACCGGAAGUGGGAAAAAAUUGCGGUGGUGGCUAGAAAUUGAUGGAAACAGUGGGAAAAAACACACAAACUGGACAGUAACAAGACCUAACCAGUAACAAGACCUCGACCAGGACACAAACUCGACACUACGGACUCUGAAACUGAAAUAUGCAAAGGCUAUGGCGCGGAUGGGUUGUAGGACAUGAAAACAAUAUGGCACUAGACUUAUGGGACGAACACAAGGACACUUCAAACUAAGGGUAGAUGUGAACCCAACGGUAUGUCUGAAGCUUUGAUUACCACUUGAGGAGAACAAGUGUGGUCCGAUCUUCCGAAAGUUUGUGGUAACUAUGGAUUUGGUGGAAACGAUAGACAUAUCAAUCCACCUUGCGAACAACACAAUUCGAAACCCUACAAUUCCUUUUUUUGAUAUUUUUCUUUUACUUAGGAGCACUCAAGAAGUAACCACAGGAAAUUUGAGCUUAAACAAGUGAAAGACGUGGCCAGUGGAAUUUUUUGAAGAUUGUGAAAAAUAUGAAAAAAAACUUUAGGAGGUGAAAACUCAAACUUCAGAGGCAAAUUUGGGGAUACUAAAAUUGUCGAACCCGCCGUUUGUCGGGAUAGACAGGUCCAAAGAAAUUUUCUGAUCGAUUCUGAUAUAUGGAACGUCAAAAUUGGAGUUCGUAUGCGAAAGUUAUGGCUGUUUUACGAACGGACUCCGAAUUAGAGGACAAAACGGUCCGGAAGUGGGAAAAAUUUGCGAUGGUGGCUAGAAAUUGAUGGAAACAGUAGGAAAAAACACACAAACUGGACUGUAACAAGACCUAACCAGUAACAAGACCUCGACCAGGACACAAACUUAACACUAUGGACUCUGAAACUGAAAUAUGCAAAGGCUAUGGCGCGGAUGGGUUGUAGGACAUGAAAACAAUAUGGCACUAGACUUAUAGGACGAACACAAGGACACUUGAAACUAAGGGUAGAUGUGAACCUAACGGUAUGUCUGAAGCUUUGAUUACCACUUGAGGAGAACAAGUGUGGCCCGAUCUUCCGAAAGUUUCUCGUGACUAUCGAUUUGGUAGAAACGAGAGACAUAUCAAUCCAGCUUGCUAACAACACAAUUCGAAACCCUGCAAUUCUUUUUUUUUGAUAUUUUUCUUUUACUUAGGAGCAUUCAAGAAGUAACCACAUGAAUUUUGAGCUUAAACAAGUGAAAGACGUGGCCAGUGGAAUUUUUUGAAGAUUGUGAAAAAUAUGAAAAAAAACUUUAGGAGGUGAGAACUCAAACUUCAGAGGCAAAUUUGGGGAUUCUAAAAUUGUCGAACCCACCGUUGGCUGGGAUAGACAGAUCCAAAAAAAUUUUCUGAUCGAUUCUGAUAUAUGGAACAUCAAAAUUGGAGUUCGUAUGCGAAAGUUCUGGCUGUUUUACGAACGGACUCCGAAUUAGAGGACAAAACGGUCCGGAAGUGGGAAAAAUUUACGGUGGUGGCUAGAAAUUGAAGGAAACAGUGGGAAAAUACAAACAAACUGGACUGUAACAAGACCUAACCAGUAACAAGACCUCGACCAGGACACAAACUCAACACUACAGACUAUGAAACUGAAAUAUGCAAAGGCUAUGGCGCGGAUGGGUUGUAGGACAUGAAAACAAUAUGGCACUAGACUUAUGGGACGAACACAAGGACACUUGAAACUAAGGGUAGAUGUGAACCUAAUGGAAUGUAUGAAGCUUUGAUUACCACUUGAGGAGAACAAGUGUGGCCCGAUCUUCCGAAAGUUUCUCGUAACUAUCGAUGUGGUGGAAACGAGAGACAUAUCAAUCUAGCUUGCGAACAACACAAUUCGAAACCCUGCAAUUCCUUUUUUUGAUAUUUUUCUUUUACUUAGGAGCACUCAAGAAGUAACCACAGGAAAUUUGAGCUUAAACAAGUGAAAGACAUGGCCAGUGGAAUUUUUUGAAGAUUGUGAAAAAUAUGAAAAAAAACUUUAGGAGGUGAAAACUCAAACUUCAGAGGCAAAUUUGGGGAUACUAAAAUUGUCGAACCCGCCGUUUGUCGGGAUAGACAGGUCCAAAGAAAUUUUCUGAUCGAUUCUGAUAUAUGGAACGUCAAAAUUGGAGUUCGUAUGCGAAAGUUAUGGCUGUUUUACGAACGGACUCCGAAUUAGAGGACAAAACGGUCCGGAAGUGGGAAAAAUUUGCGAUGGUGGCUAGAAAUUGAUGGAAACAGUGGGAAAAAACACACAAACUGGACUGUAACAAGACCUAACCAGUAACAAGACCUCGACCAGGACACAAACUUAACACUAUGGACUCUGAAACUGAAAUAUGCAAAGGCUAUGGCGCGGAUGGGUUGUAGGACAUGAAAACAAUAUGGCACUAGACUUAUAGGACGAACACAAGGACACUUGAAACUAAGGGUAGAUGUGAACCUAACGGUAUGUCUGAAGCUUUGAUUACCACUUGAGGAGAACAAGUGUGGCCCGAUCUUCCGAAAGUUUCUCGUGACUAUCGAUUUGGUAGAAACGAGAGACAUAUCAAUCCAGCUUGCUAACAACACAAUUCGAAACCCUGCAAUUCUUUUUUUUUGAUAUUUUUCUUUUACUUAGGAGCAUUCAAGAAGUAACCACAUGAAUUUUGAGCUUAAACAAGUGAAAGACGUGGCCAGUGGAAUUUUUUGAAGAUUGUGAAAAAUAUGAAAAAAAACUUUAGGAGGUGAAAACUCAAACUUCAGAGGCAAAUUUGGGGAUUCUAAAAUUGUCGAACCCGCCGUUGGCUGGGAUAGACAGAUCCAAAAAAAUUUUCUGAUCGAUUCUGAUAUAUGGAACAUCAAAAUUGGAGUUCGUAUGCGAAAGUUCUGGCUGUUUUACGAACGGACUCCGAAUUAGAGGACAAAACGGUCCGGAAGUGGGAAAAAUUUACGGUGGUGGCUAGAAAUUGAAGUAAACAGUGGGAAAAUACAAACAAACUGGACUGUAACAAGACCUAAUCAGUAACAAGACCUCGACCAGGACACAAACUCAACACUACAGACUCUGAAACUGAAAUAUGCAAAGGCUAUGGCGCGGAUGGGUUGUAGGACAUGAAAACAAUAUGGCACUAGACUUAUGGGACGAACACAAGGACACUUCAAACUAAGGGUAGAUGUGAACCUAAGGGUAUGUCUGAAGCUUUGAUUACCACUUGAGGAGAACAAGUGUGGCCCGAUCUUCCGAAAGUUUCUAGUAACUAUCGAUUUGGUGGAAACGAGAGAUAUAUCAAUCCAGCUUGCGAACAACACAAUUCGAAACCCUGCAAUUCUUUUUAUUUUUAUUUUGAUAUUUUUCUUUUACUUAGGAGCACUCAAGAAGUAACCACAGGAAAUUUGAGCUUAAACAAGUGAAAGACGUGUCCUGUGGAAUUUUUGAAGAUUGUGAAAAAUAUGAAAAAAAUCUUUAGGAGGUGAAAACUCAAACUUCAUAGGCGAAUUUGGAGAUUCUAAAAUUGUCGAACCCACCGUUGGCGGGGAUAGACAGAUCCAAAAAUUGUUUCUGAACAAUUCGAUUUUGAUAUAUAGAACGUCAAAAUUGGAGUUCGUAUGCGAAAGUUAUGGCUGUUUUACGAAUGGACUCUGAAUUAGAGGACAAAACGGUCCGGAAGUGGGAAACAAUUGCGGUGGUGGCUAGAAAUUGAUGGAAACAGUGAGAAAAAACACACAAACUGGACUGUAACAAGGCCUAACCAGUAACAAGACCUCGACCAGGACACAAACUCAACACUACGGGCUCUGAAACUGAAAUAUGCAAAGGCUAUGGCGCGGAUGGGUUGUAGGACAUGAAAACAAUAUGGCACUAGACUUAUGGGACGAACACAAGGACACUUGAAACUAAGGGUAGAUGUGAACCUAACGGUAUGUCUGAAGCUUUGAUUACCACUUGAGGAGAACAAGUGUGGCCCGAUCUUCCGAAAGUUUCUCGUAACUAUCGAUUUGUUGGAAACGAGAGACAUAUCAAUCCAGCUUGCUAACAACACAAUUCGAAACCCUACAAUUCUUUUUUUUUGAUAUUUUUCUUUUACUUAGGAGCACUCAAGAAGUAACCACAGGAAUUUUGAGCUUAAACAAGUGAAAGACGUGGCCAGUGGAUUUUUUUUGAAGAUUGUGAAAAAUAUGAAAAAAACUUUAGGAGGUGAAAACUCAAACUUCAGAGGCAAAUUUGGGGAUUCUAAAAUUGUCGAACCUGUGGUUGGCCAUGAUAGACAUAUCCAAAAAAAUUUUCUGAUCGAUUCUGAUAUAUGGAACGUCAAAAUUGGAGUUCGUAUGCGAAAGUUAUGGCUGUUUUACGAACGGACUCCGAAUUAGAGGACAAAACGGUCCGGAACUGGGAAAAAUUUACGGCGGUGGCUAGAAAUUAAAGGAAACAGUGGGAAAAAACAAACAAACUGGACUGUAACAAGACCUAACCAGUAACAAGACCUUGACCAGGACACAAACUCAACACUACAGACUCUGAAACUGAAAUAUGCAAAGGCUAUGGCGCGGAUGGGUUGUAGGACAUGAAAACAAUAUGGCACUAGACUUAUGGGACGAACACAAGGACACUUCAAACUAAGGGUAGAUGUGAAUCUAAGGGUAUGUCUGAAGCUUUGAUUACCACUUGAGGAGAACAAGUGUGGCCCGAUCUUCUAAAAGUUUCUGGUAACUAUCGAUUUGGUGGAAACGAGAGACAUAUCAAUCCAGCUUGCGAACAACACAAUUCGAAACCCUGCAAUUCUUUUUAUUUUUAUUUGAGCUUAAACAAGUGAAAGACGUGUCCGGUGGAAUUUUUUGAAGAUUGUGAAAAAUAUGAAAAAAAUCUUUAGGAGGUGAAAACUCAAACUUCAUAGGCGAAUUUCGAGAUUCUAAAAUUGUCGAACCCGCAGUUGGCGGGGAUAGACAGAUCCAAAAAUUGUUUGUGUUCGAUUCGAUUUUGAUAUAUAGAACGUCAAAAUUGGAGUUCGUAUGCGAAAGUUAUGGCUGUUUUACGAACGCACUCUGAAUUAGAGGACAAAACGGUCCGGAAGUGGGAAACAAUUGCGGUGGUGGCUAGAAAUUGAUGGAAACAGUGGGAAAAACACACAAACUGGACUGUAACAAGACCUAACCAGUAACAAGACCUCGACCUGGACACAAACUCAACACUACGGACUCUGAAACUGAAAUAUGCAAAGGCUAUGGCGCGGAUGGGUUGUAGGACAUGAAAACAAUAUGGCACUAGACUUAUGGGACGAACACAAGGACACUUGAAACUAAGGGUAGAUGUGAACCUAACGGUAUGUCUGAAGCUUUGAUUACCACUUGAGGAGAACAAGUGUGGCCCGAUCUUCCGAAAGCUUCUCGUAACUAUCGAUUUGGUGGAAACGAGAGACAUAUCAAUCCAGCUUGCUAACAACACAAUUCGAAACCCUGCAAUUCUUUUUUUGAUAAUUUUCUUUUACUUAGGAGCACUCAAGAAGUUACCACAGGAAUUUUGAGCUUAAACAAGUGAAAGACGUGGCCAGUGGAUUUUUUUGAAGAUUGUGAAAAAUAUGAAAAAAAACUUUAGGAGGUGAAAACUCAAACUUCAGAGGCAAAUUUGGGGAUUCUAAAAUUGUCGAACCCGCCGCUGGCGGGGAUAGACAGAUCCAAAAAAUUUUUCUGAUCGAUUCUGAUAUAUGGAACGUCAAAAUUGGAGUUCGUAUGCGAAAGUUAUGGCUGUUUUACGAACGGACUCCGAAUUAGAGGAUAAAACGGUCCGGAAGUGGGAAAAAUUUGCGGUGGUGGCUAGAAAUUGAUGGAAACAGUGGGAAAAAACACACAAACUGGACUAUAACAAGACCUAACCAGUAACAAGACCUCGACCAGGACACAAACUCAACACUACGGAUUCUGAAACUGAAGUAUGCAAAGGCUAUGGCGCGGAUGGGUUGUAGGACAUGAAAAGAAUAUGGCACUAGACUUAUGGAACGAACACAAGGACACUUGAAGCUAAGGGUAGAUGUGAACCUAACGGUAUGUCUGAAGCUUUGAUUACCACUUAAGGAGAACAAGUUUGGCCCGAUCUUCCGAAAGUUUCUCGUAACUUUGGAUUUGGUGGAAACGAGAGACAUAUCAAUCCAGCUUGCGAACAACACAAUUUGAAACCCUGCAAUUCUUUUUUUGAUAUUUUUCUUUUACUUAGGAGCACUCAAGAACUAACCAUAGGAAAUUUGAGCUUAAACAAGUGAAAGACGUGGCCUGUGGAAUUUUUUGAAGAUUGUGAAAAAUAUGAAAAAAAAUCUUUAGGAGGUGAAAGCUCAAACUUUAGAGGCGAAUUUGGGGAUUCUAAAAUUGUCGAACCCGCCAGAGGUAGGGAUAGACAGAUCCAAAAUUUUUUUCUGAACGAUUUUGAUAUAUGGAACAUCAAAAUUAGAGUUCGUAUGCGAAAGUUAUGGCUGUUUUACGAACGGACUCCGAAUUAGAGGACAAAACGGUCCGGAGGUGGGAAAAAUUUACGGUGGUGGCUAGAAAUUGAUGGAAACAGUAGGAAAAAACACACAAACUAGACUGUAACAAGACCUAACCAGUAACAAGACCUAGACCAGGACACAAACUCAACACUACGGACUCUGAAACUGAAAUAUGCAAAGGCUAUGGCGCGGAUGGGUUGUAGGACAUGAAAACAAUAUGGCACUAGACUUAUGGGACGAACACAAGGACACUUGAAACUAUGGGUACAUAUGAACCUAACGGUAUGUCUGAAGCUUUGAUUACCACUUGAGGAGAACAAGUGUGGCCCAUCUUCCGAAAGUUUCUCGUAACUAUCGAUUUGGUGGAAACGAGAGACAUAUCAAUCCAGCUUGCGAACAACACAAUUCGAAACCCUACAAUUCUUUUUUUUUGCUAUUUUUAUUUUACUUAGGAGCACUCAAGAAGUAACCAUAGGAAAUUUGAGCUUAAACAACUGAAAGACGUGGCCUGUGGAAUUUUUUGAAGAUUGUGAAAAAUAUGAAAAAAAACUUUAGGAGGUGAAAACUCAAACUUCAGAGGCGAAUUUGGGGAUUCUAAAAUUGUCGAACCCGCCUUUGGCGGCGGGGAUAGACUGAUCCAAAAAAAAUUCUAAUGGAUUUUGAUAUAUGGAACGUCAAAAUUGGAGUUCGUAUGCGAAAGUUAUGGCUAUUUUACGAACGGACUCCGAAUUAGAGGACAAAACGGACCGGAAGUGGGAAAAAUUUGCGGUGGUGGCUAGAAAUUGCUGGAAACAGUGGGAAAAAACACACAAACUGGACUCUAACAAGGCCUAACCAGCAACAAGGCCUCGACCAGGACACAAACUCAACACUACGGACUCUGAAACUGAAAUAUGCAAAGGCUAUGGCGCGGAUGGGUUGUAGGACAUGAAAACAAUAUGGCACUAGACUUAUGAGACGAACACAAGGACACUUGAAACUAAGGGUAGAUAUGAACCUAACGGUAUGUCUGAAGCUUUGAUUACCACUUGAGGAGAACAAGUGUGGCCCGAUAUUCCGGAAGUUUCUCGUAACUAUCGAUUUGGUGGAAACGAGAGACAUAUCAAUCCAGCUUGCGAACAACACAAUUCGAAACCCUGCAAUUCUUUUUAUUUUUUUUUAUAUUUUUCUUUUACUUAGGAUCACUCAGGAAGUAACCACAGGAAAUUUUGAGCUUAAACAAGUGAAAGACGUGGCCUGUGGAAUUUUUUGAAGAUUGUCAAAAAUAUGAAAAAAAACUUUAGGAGGUGAAAACUCAAACUUCAGAGGCGAAUUUGGAGAUUCUAAAAUUGUCGAACCUGCCAAAGGCAGGGAUAGACAGAUCCAAAUUUUUGUUUUGAACCAUUUUGAUAUAUGGAACGUCAAAAUUAGAGUUCGUAUGCGAAAGUUAUGGCUCUUUUACCAACGGACUCCGAAUUAGAGGACAAAACGGUCCGGAAGUGGGAAAAAUUUGCGGUAGUGGCUAGAAAUUGAUGGAAACAGUGGAAAAAACACACAAACUGGACUCGUAACGAGAGACAUAUCAAUCCAGCUUGCGAACAAGACAAUUCGAAACCCUGCAAUUCUUUUUAUUUUUAUUUUUUGAUAUUUUUCUUUUACUUAGGAGCACCCAAGAAGUAACCACAGGAAAUUUGAGCUUAAACAAGUGAAAGACGUGGCCUGUGGAAUUUUUUGAAGAUUGUGAAAAAUAUGAAAAAAAUUUAGGAGGUGAAAACUCAAACUUCAGAGGCAAAUUUGGAGAUUCUAAAAUUGUCGAACCCGCCAAAGGCGGGGAUAGACAAAUCCAAAAUUUUUUUCUGAUCGAUUUUGAUAUAUGGAACGUCAAAAUUAGAGUUCGUAUACGAAAGUAAUGGCUGUUUUACGAACGAACUCCGAAUUAGAGCACAAAACGGUCCGGAAGUGGAAAAAAUUUGCGGUGGUGGCUAGAAAUUGAUGGAAAUAGUGGGAAAAAACACAUAAACUGGAGUGUAACAAGAUCUAACUAGUAACAAGACCUCGACCAGGACACAAACUCAACACUACAGACUCUGAAACUGAAAUAUGCAAAGGCUAUGGCGCGGAUGGGUUGUAGGACAUGAAAACAAUAUGGCACUAGACUUAUGGGACGAACACAAGGACACUUGAAACUAAGGAUAGAUGUGAACCUAACGGUAUGUCUGAAGCUUUGAUUACCACUUGAGGAGAACAAGUGUGGCCCGAUCUUCCGAAAGUUUUUGGUAACUAUCGAUUUGGUGGAAACGAGAGACAUGUCAAUCCAGCUUGUCAACAACACAAUUCAAAACCCUGCAAUUCUUUUUUUUGAUAUUUUUCUUUUACUUAGGAGCACUCAAGAAGUAACCACAGGGAAUUCGAGCUUAAACAAGUGAAAGACGUGGCCUGUGGAAUUUUUUGAAGAUUGUGAAAAAUAUGAAAAAAAAACUUUAGGAGGUGAAAGCUCAAACUUCAGAGGCGAAUUUGGGGAUUCUAAAAUUGUCGAACCCGCCAACGGCGGGCAUAGACUGAUCUAAAAAUUUUUUCUGAUGGAUUGUGAUAUAUGGAACGUCAAAAUUAGAGUUCGUAUGCGAAAGUUAUGGCUGUUUUACGAAUGGACUCCGAAUUAGAGGACAAAACAGUGAGGAAGUGGGAAAAUUUUGCGGUGGUGGCUAGAAAUUGAUGGAAACAGUGGGAAAAAACACACAAACUAGACUGUAACAAGACCUAACUAGUAACAAGACCUCGACCAUGGACUCUGAAACUGAAAUAUGCAAAGGCUACGGCGCGGAUGGGUUGUAGGACAUGAAAACAAUAUGGCACUAGACUUAUGGGACGAACACAAGGACACUUGAAACUAAGGAUAGAUGUGAACCUAACGGUAUGUCUGAAGCUUUGAUUACCACUUGAGGAGAACAAGUGUGACCCGAUCUUCCGAAAGUUUCACGUAGCUAUCGAUUUGGUGGAAACGAGAGACAUAUCAAUCCAGCUUGCGAACAACACAAUUCGAAACCCUGCAAUUUUUUUUAUUUUUUUUUGAUAUUUUUCUUUUACUUAGGAGCACUCAAGAAGUAACCACAGAAAAUUUGAGCUUAAACAAGUGAAAGACCUGGCCUGUGGAAUUUUUUGAAGAUUGUGAAAAAUAUGAAAAAAACCUUAGGAGGUGAAAACUCAAACUUCAGAGGCGAAUUUGGGGAUUCUAAAAUUAUCGAACUCGCCAAUGGCAAUAGACAGAUCCAAAAAUUUUUUCUGAUCGAUUCUGGUAUAUGGAACGUCAAAAUUAGAGUUCGUAUGCGAAGGUUAUGGCUGUUUUACGAACGGACUCCGAAUUAGAUAACAAAAGGGUCCGAAAGUGAGAAACAUUUGCGGUGGUGGCUAGAAAUUGAUGGAAACAGUGGGAAAAAAUACACAAACUGGACUGUAACAAAACCUAACCAGUAUCAAGACGUCGACCAGGACACAAACUCAACACUACGGACUCUGAAACUGAAAUAUGCAAAGGCUAUGGCGCGGAUGGGUUGUAGGACAUGAAAACAAUAUGGCACUAGACUUAUGGGAUGAACACAAGGACACUUGAAACUAAGGAUAGAUGUGAACCUAACGGUAUGUCUGAAGCUUUGAUUACCACUUGAAGAGAACAAGUGUGGCCCGAUCUUCCGAAAGUUUCUCGUAACUAUCGAUUUGGUGGAAACGAGAGACAUAUCAAUCCAGCUUGCGAACAACACAAUUCGAAACCCUGCAAUUCUUUUUAUUUUUAUUUUUUGAUAUUUUUCUUUUACUUAGGAGCACUCAAGAAGUAACCACAGGAAAUUUGAGCUUAAACAAGUGAAAGACGUGGCCUGUGGAAUUUUUUGAAGAUUGUGAAAAAUAUGAAAAAAAUUUAGGAGGUGAAAACUGAAACUUCAGAGGCGAAUUUGGGGAUUCUAAAAUUGUCGAACCUGCCAGAGGCGGAGAUAGACACAUCCAAAAAAUUGUUCUGAACGAUUUUGAUAUAUGGAACGUCAAAAUUAGAGUUCGUAUGCGAAAGUUAUGGCUGUUUUACGAACGGACUCCGAAUUAGAGGACAAAACGGUGAGGAAGUGAGAAAAAUUUGCGGUGGUGGCUAGAAAUUGAUGGAAACAGUGGGAAAAAACACACAAACUGGACUGUAACAAGACCUAACCAGUAACAAGACCUCCACCACGGACUCUAAAACUGAAAUAUGCAGAGGCUAUGGCGCGGAUGGGUUGUAGGAUAUGAAAACAAUAUGUCACUAGACUUAUGGGACGAACACAAGGACACUUGAAACUAAGGAUAGAUGUGAACCUAACGGUAUGUCUGAAGCUUUGAUUACCACUUGAGGAGAACAAGUGUGACCCGAUCUUCCGAAAGUUUCUCGUAACUAUCGAUUUGGUGGAAACGAGAGACAUAUCAAUCCAGCUUGCGAACAACACAAUUCGAAACCCUGCAAUUAUUUUUAUUUUUUUUGAUAUUUUUCUUUUACUUAGGAGGACUCAAGAAGUAACCACAGGAAAUUUGAGCUUAAACAAGUGAAAGACGUGGCCUGUGGAAUUUUUUGAAGAUUGUGAAAAAUAUGAAAAAAAAAUUUAGGACGUGAAAACUCAAACUUCAGAGGCGAAUUUGGGGAUUCUAAAAUUGUCGAACUCGCCAAAGGCGAGGAUAGAUAGAUCCAAAAAAAUUUUCUGAUCGAUUCUGGUAUAUGGAACGUCAAAAUUGGAGUUCGUAUGCGAAAGUUAUGGCUGUUUUACGAACGGAAUCCGAAUUAGAGGACAAAACGGUCCUGAAGUGAGAAAAAUUUGCGGUGUUGGCUAGAAAUUGAUGGAAACAGUGGGAAAAAACACACAAACUCGACUGCAACAAGACCUAACCAGUAUCAGGACGUCGACCAGGACACAAACUCAACACUACGGACUCUGAAACUGAAAUAUGCAAAGGCUAUGGCCCGGAUGGGUUGUAGGACAUGAAAACAAUAUGGCACUAGACUUAUGGGACGAACACAAGGACACUUGAAACUAAGGGUAGAUGUGAACCUAACGGUAUGUUUGAAGCUUUGAUUACCACUUGAGGAGAACAAGUGUGGCCCGAUCUUCCGAAAGUUUCUCAUAACUAUCGAUUUGGUGGAAACGAGAGACAUAUCAAUCCAGUUUGCGAACAAUACAAUUCGAACCAUGCAAUUCUUUUUUUUUUGAUAUUUUUCUUUUACUUAGGAGCACUCAAGAAGUAACCAUAGGAAAUUUGAGCUUAAACAAUUGAAAGACGUGGCCUGUGGAAUUUUUUGAAGAUUGUCAAAAAUAUGAAAAAAACUAGGAGGUGAAAACUCAAACUUCGGAGGCAAAUUUGGGGAUUCUAAAAUUGUCGAACCCGCCAAAGGCGGGGAUAGACAGAUCCAAAAAUUUUUUCUGAUCGAUUUUGAUAUAUGGAACGUCAAAAUUAGAGUUCGUAUACGAAAGUAAUGGCUGUUUUACGAACGAACUCCGAAUUAGAGGACAAAACGGUCCGGAAGUGGAAAAAAUUUGCGGUGGUGGCUAGAAAUUGAUGGAAAUAGUGGGAAAAAACACAUAAACUGGACUGUAACAAGAUCUAACCAGUAACAAGACCUCGACCAGGACACAAACUCAACACUACGGACUCUGAAACUGAAAUAUGCAAAGGCUAUGGCGCGGAUGGGUUGUAGGACAUGAAAACAAUAUGGCACUAGACUUAUGGGACGAACACAAGGACACUGGAUAGAUGUGAACCUAACGGUAUUUCUGAAGCUUUGAUUACCACUUGAGGAGAACAAGUGUGGCCCGAUCUUCCGAAAGUUUUUGGUAACUAUCGAUUUGGUGGAAACGAGAGACAUGUCAAUCCAGCUUGUCAACAACACAAUUCGAAACCCUGCAAUUCUUUUUUUUUGAUAUUUUUCUUUACUUAGGACCACUCAAGAAGUAACCACAGGGAAUUCGAGCUUAAACAAGUGAAAGACGUGGCCUGUGGAAUUUUUUGAAGAUUGUGAAAAAUAUGAAAAAAAAACUUUAGGAGGUGAAAGCUCAAACUUCAGAGGCGAAUUUGGGGAUUCUAAAAUUGUCGAACCCGCCAACGGCGGGCAUAGACUGAUCUAAAAAUUUUUUCUGAUGGAUUGUGAUAUAUGGAACGUCAAAAUUAGAGUUCGUAUGCGAAAGUUAUGGCUGUUUUACGAAUGGACUCCGAAUUAGAGGACAAAACAGUGAGGAAGUGGGAAAAUUUUGCGGUGGUGGCUAGAAAUUGAUGGAAACAGUGAGAAAAAACACACAAACUAGACUGUAACAAGACCUAACCAGUAACAAGACCUCGACCAUGGACUCUGAAACUGAAAUAUGCAAAGGCUAUGGCGCAGAUGGGUUGUAGGACAUGAAAACAAUAUGGCACUAGACUUAUGGGACGAACACAAGGACACUUGAAACUAAGGAUAGUUGUGAACCUAACGGUAUGUCUGAAGCUUUGAUUACCACUUGAGGAGAACAAGUGUGACCCGAUCUUCCGAAAGUUUCACGUAACUAUCGAUUUGGUGGAAACGAGAGACAUAUCAAUCCAGCUUGCGAACAACACAAUUCGAAACCCUGCAAUUUUUUUUAUUUUUUUUUUGAUAUUUUUCUUUUACUUAGGAGCACUCAAGAAGUAACCACAGGAAAUUUAAGCUUAAACAAGUGAAAGACCUGGCCUGUGGAAUUUUUUGAAAAUUGUGAAAAAUAUGAAAAAAAACAUUAGGAGGUGAAAACUCAAACUUCUGAGGCGAAUUUGGGGAUUCUAAAAUUAUCGAACUCGCCAAUGGCAAUAGACAGAUCCAAAUUUUUUUUCUGAUCGAUUCUGGUAUAUGGAACGUCAAAAUUAGAGUUCGUAUGCGAAGGUUAUGGCUGUUUUACGAACGGACUCCGAAUUAGAGAACAAAAGGGUCCGAAAGUGAGAAACAUUUGCGGUGGUGGCUAGAAAUUGAUGGAAACAGUGGGAAAAAAUACACAAACUGGACUGUAACAAGACCUAACCAGUAUCAAGACGUCGACCAGGACACAAACUCAAUACUACGGACUCUGAAACUGAAAUAUGCAAAGGCUAUGGCGCGGAUGGGUUGUAGGACACGAAAACAAUAUGGCACUAGACUUAUGGGAUGAACACAAGGACACUUGAAACUAAGGAUAGAUGUGAACCUAACGGUAUGUCUGAAGCUUUGAUUACCACUUGAAGAGAACAAGUGUGGCCCGAUCUUCCGAAAGUUUCUCGUAACUAUCGAUUUGGUGGAAACGAGAGACAUAUCAAUCCAGCUUGCGAACAACACAAUUCGAAACCCUGCAAUUCUUUUUAUUUUUAUUUUUUUGAUAUUUUUCAUUUAUUUAGGAGCACUUAAAAAGUAACCACAGGAAAUUUGAGCUUAAACAAGUGAAAGACGUGGCCUGUGGAUUUUUUUGAAGAUUGUGAAAAAUAUGAAAAAAAACUUUAGGAGGUAAAAACUCAAACUUCAGAGGUGAAUUUGGCGAUUCUAAAAUUGUCGAACCCGCCAAAGGCAGGAUAGACAGAUCCAAAAAUUUUUUCUGAUGGAUUUUGAUAUAUGGAACGUCAAAAUUAGACUUCGUAUGCGAAAGUUAUGGCUGUUUUACGAACGAACUCCGAAUUAGAGGACAAAACGGUCCGGAAGUGGGAAAAAAUUUGCGGUGGUGGCUAGAAAUUGAUGGAAAUAGUUAGAAAAAACACACAAAUUGGACUGUAACAAGACCUAACCAGUAACAAGACCUCGACCAGGACACAAACUUAACACUACGGACUCUGAAACUGAAAUAUGCAAAGGCUAUGGCGCGGAUGGGUUGUAGGAUAUGAAAACAAUAUGGCACUAGACUUAUGGGACGAACACAAGGAAACUUGAAACUUAGGGUAGAUGUGAACCUAACCGUAUGCCUGAAGCUUUGAUUACCACUUGAGGAGAACAAGUGUGGCUCGAUCUUCCGAAAGUUUCUCGUAACUAUCGAUUUGGUGGAAACGAGAGACAUAUCAAUCCAGCUUGCGAACAACACAAUUCGAAACCCUGCAAUUCUUUUUAUUUUUACUUUUUGAUAUUUUUCUUUUACUUAGGAGUACUCAAGAAGUAACCACAGGAAAUUUGAGCUUAAACAAGUGAAAGACGUGGCCUGUGGAAUUUUUUGAAGAUUGUGAAAAAUAUGAAAAAAAAAUUUAGGACGUGAAAACUCAAACUUCAGAGGCGAAUUUGGGGAUUCUAAAAUUGUCGAACUCGCCAUAGGCGAGGAUAGAUAGAUCCAAAAAAUUUUUCUGAUCGAUUCUGGUAUAUGGAACGUCAAAGUUGGAGUUGGUAUGCGAAAGUUAUGGCUGUUUUACGAACGGACUCCGAAUUAGAGGACAAAACGGUCCGGAAGUGAGAAAAAUUUGUGGUGGUGGCUAGAAAUUGAUGGAAACAGUGGGAAAAAACACACAAACUCGACUGCAACAAGACCUAACCAGUAUCAAGACGUCGAGCAGGACACAAACUCAACACUACGGACUCUGAAACUGAAAUAUGCAAUGGCUAUGGCCCAGAUGGGUUGUAGGACAUGAAAACAAUAUGGCACUAGACUUAUGGGACGAACACAAGGACACUUGAAACUAAGGGUAGAUGUGAACCUAACGGUACGUUUGAAGCUUUGAUUACCACAUGAGGAGAACAUGUGUGGCCCGAUCUUCCGAAAGUUUCUCGUAACUAUCGAUUUGGUGGAAACGAGAGACAUAUCAAUCCAGUUUGCGAACAACACAAUUCGAACCCUGCAAUUCUUUUUUUUGAUAUUUUUCUUUUACUUAGGAGCACUCAAGAAGUAACCACAGGAAAUUUGAGCUUAGACAAGUGAAAGACGUGGCCUGUGGAAUUUUUUGAAGAUUGUCAAAAAUAUGAAAAAAAACUUUAGGAGGUGAGAGGCGAAUUUUGGGAUUCUAAAAUUGUCGAACCUGCCAUAGGCAGAGAUAGACAGAUCCAAAUUUUUUUUCUCUGAACGAUUUUGAUAUAUGGAACGUCAAAAUUAGAGUUCGUAUGCGAAAGUUAUGGCUGUUUUACCAACGGACUCCGAAUUAGAGGACAAAACGGUCCGGAAGUGGGAAAAAUUUAGGGUAGUGGCUAGAAAUUGAUGGAAACAGUGGGAAAAAACACACAAACUGGACUCGUAACGAGAGACAUAUCAAUCCAGCUUGCGAACAACACAAUUCGAAACCCUGCAAUGCUUUUUAUUUUUAUUUUUUGAUAUUUUUCUUUUACUUAGGAGCACUCAAGAAGUAACCACAGGAAAUUUGAGCUUAAACAAGUGAAAGACGUGGCCUGUGGAAUUUUUUGAAGAUUGUGAAAAAUAUGAAAAAAAAUUUAGGAGGUGAAAAGUCAAACUUCAGAGUUGAAUUUGGGGAUUCUAAAAUUAUCGAACCCGCCAAAGGCGGGCAUAGACGGAUCCAAAAAUUUUUUCUGAUCGAUUUUGAUAUAUGGAACGUCAAAAUUAGAGUUCGUAUGCGAAAGUAAUGGCUGUUUUACGAACGAACUCCGAAUUAGAGGACAAAACGGUCCGUAAGUGGGAAAAAUUUGCGGUGGUGGCUAGAAAUUGAUGGAAAUAGUGGGAAAAACACAUAAACUGGACUGUAACAAGACCUCGACCAGGACACAAACUCAACACUACGGACUCUGAAACUGAAAUAUGCAAAGGCUAUGGCGCGGAUAGGUUGUAGGACAUGAAAACAAUAUGGCACUAGACUUAUGGGAUGAACACAAGGACACUUGAAACUAAGGAUAGAUGUGAACCUAUGUCUGAAGCUUUGAUUACCACUUGAGGAGAACAAGUGUGGCCCGAUCUUCCGAAAGUUUUUGGUAACUAUCGAUUUGGCGGAAACGAGAGACAUGUCAAUCCAGCUUGUCAACAACACAAUUCGAAACCCUGCAAUUCUUUUUUUUGAUAUUUUUCUUUUACUUAGGAGCACUCAAUAAGUAACCACAGAAAAUUUGAGCUUAAACAAGUGAAAGACGUGGCCUGUGGAAUUUUUUGAAGAUUGUGAAAAAUAUGAAAAAAAACUUUAGGAGGUGAGAACUCAAACUUCAGAGGCGAAUUUGGGGAUUCUAAAAUUGUCGAACCCGCCAACAGCGGGCAUAGACUGAUCUAAAAAAUUUUUCUGAUGGAUUGUGAUAUAUGGAACGUCAAAAUUAGAGUUCGUAUGCGAAAGUUAUGGCUGUUUUACGAACGGACUCCGAAUUAGAGGACAAAACAGUCAGGAAGUGGGAAAAAUUUGCGGUGGUGGCUAGAAAUUGAUGGAAACAGUGAGAAAAAACACACAAACUGGACUGUAACAAGACCUAACCAGUAACAAGACCUCGACCACGGACUCUGAAACUGAAAUAUGCAAAGGCUAUGGCGCGGAUGGGUUGUAGGACAUGAAAACAAUAUGGCACUGGACUUAUGGGACGAACACAAGGACACUUGAAACUAAGGAUAGAUGUGAACCUAACGGUAUGUCUGAAGCUUUGAUUAUCACUUGAGGAGAACAAGUGUGACCAGAUCUUCCAAAAGUUUCACGUAACUAUCGAUUUGGUGGAAACGAGAGACAUAUCAAUCCAGCUUGCGAACAACACAAUUCGAAACCCUACAAUUCUUUUUAUUUUUAUUUUUUGAUAUUUUUCUUUUAUUUAGGAGCACUUAAGAAGUAACCACAGGAAAUUUGAGCUUAAACAAGUGAAAGACCUGGCCUGUGGAAUUUUUUGAAGAUUGUGAAAAAUAUGAAAAAAAAACCUUAGGAGGUGAAAACUCAAACUUCAGAGGCGAAUUUGGGGAUUCUAAAAUUGUCGAACUCGCCAAUGGCAAUAGACAGAUCCAAAUUUUUUUUCUGAUCGAUUCUGGUAUAUGGAACGUUAAAAUUGGAGUUCGUAUGCGAAGGUUAUGGCUGUUUUACGAACGGACUCCGAAUUAGAGAACAAAACGGUCUGAAAGUGAGAAAAAUUUGCGGUGGUGGCAAGAAAUUGAUGAAAACAGUGGAAAAAAAUAUACAAACUGGACUGUAACAAGACCUAACCAGUAUCAAGACGUCGACCAGGACACAAACUCAACACUACGGACUCUGAAACUGAAAUAUGCAAAGGCUAUGGCGCGGAUGGGUUGUAGGACAUGAAAACAAUAUGGCACUAGACUUAUGAGACGAACACAAGGACACUUGAAACUAAAGAUAGAUGUGAACCUAACGGUAUGUCUGAAGCUUUGAUUACCACUUGAAGAGAACAAGUGUGGCCCGAUCUUCCGAAAGUUUCUCGUAACUAUCGAUUUGGUGGAAACGAGAGACAUAUAAAUCCAGCUUGCGAACAACACAAUUCGAAACCCUGCAAUUCUUUUUAUUUUUAUUUUUUGAUAUUUUUCUUUUAUUUAGAAGCACUUAAGAAGUAACCAUAGGAAAUUUGAGCUUAAACAAGUGAGAGACGUGGCCUGUGGAAUUUUUUGAAGAUUGUGAAAAAUAUGAAAAAAAAACUUUAGGAGGUAAAAACUCAAACUUCAGAGGUGAAUUUGGGGAUUCUAAAAUUGUCGAACCCGCCAAAGGCAAGAUAGACAGAUCCAAAAUUUUUUUCUGAUCGAUUCUGGUAUAUGG
rnacentral:lncRNA from 1 species